UACGAAGGGGGCUAGCGUUGUUCGGAAUUACUGGGCGUAAAGCGCGUGUAGGCGGCUUGGUAAGUCUGCUCUGAAAGCCCGGGGCUCAACCCCGGGAGGCGGGUGGAUACUGCUGAGCUCGAGUCCGGAAGAGGCGAGUGGAAUUCCUGGUGUAGCGGUGAAAUGCGCAGAUAUCAGGAGGAACACCGGUGGCGAAGGCGGGUCUCUGGGCCGAUACUGACGCUGAGGAGCGAAAGCGUGGGGAGCGAACAGG
rnacentral:rRNA from 1 species